CCUAGGGGAGGCAGCAGUGGGGAAUUUUGGACAAUGGGCGAAAGCCUGAUCCAGCAAUGCCGCGUGUGUGAAGAAGGCCUUCGGGUUGUAAAGCACUUUUGUCCGGAAAGAAAUGGCUCUGGUUAAUACCUGGAGUCGAUGACGGUACCGGAAGAAUAAGGACCGGCUAACUACGUGCCAGCAGCCGCGGUUA
rnacentral:rRNA from 1 species